AGGGUUCGAUUCUGGCUCAGGAUGAACGCUGGCGGCGUGCUUAACACAUGCAAGUCGAACGGAGUAUAGACGCUGCAGAGAUUCGGUCGAAGCUUGUUUAUACUUAGUGGCGGACGGGUGAGUAACGCGUGGGUAACCUGCCGUAUGCAGGGGGACAACAGUUGGAAACGACUGCUAAUACCGCAUAAGCGCACGGUAUCGCAUGAUACAGUGUGAAAAAGAUUUAUCGGCAUACGAUGGACCCGCGUUUGAUUAGAUAGUUGGUGAGGUAACGGCUCACCAAGUCGACGAUCAAUAGCCGGCCUGAGAGGGCAAUCGGCCACAUUGGGACUGAGACACGGCCCAAACUCCUACGGGAGGCAGCAGUGGGGAAUAUUGCACAAUGGGGGAAACCCUGAUGCAGCGACGCCGCGUGGGUGAAGAAGUAUUUCGGUAUGUAAAGCUCUAUCAGCAGGGAAGAUAGUGACGGUACCUGACUAAGAAGCCCCGGCUAACUACGUGCCAGCCGCCGC
rnacentral:rRNA from 1 species